rnacentral:rRNA from 1 species
UAGCAAAAUCAUUUGUUUAUUAAUUGUAAACUGGUAUGAACGGUUUUACAGCUGCUCUCUUUAUAGCUUGUACAAGACGAAUUUGAAUUCUCAGUCAAAAUGCUGAGGUACGUUAGAGGGACGAUAAGACCCUAAAAGCUUGUCUAUGGCUGUUAAAAGGGCUAGAAUACUGGUGCGUGGUAGUUAGCUGGGGAAGUUGGUGUAUGAAAAUUAUGUGUGUUUGGAGCGGCUAGUGACCUGUGAUAUCACAGGAGUAAGAAAAAGUUACUUUAGGGAUAACAGCAUAAUAAGUUUAAAGAGUUCGUAUUGAUAGGCUUGUUUAUGACCUCGAUGUUGAAUUAAACUAAUUACACGAGGAAGAGUGUGUGUAACAGGGUUUGUUCAACCUUUGGAAGUUUACGUGAUUU